rnacentral:rRNA from 1 species
CACGUAGGGCGCAAGCGUUGUCCGGAAUUAUUGGGCGUAAAGAGCUCGUAGGCGGUCUGCUACGUCCGCUGUGAAAACCUAGGGCUUAACCCUGGGCUUGCAGUAGAUACGGGCAGACUAGAGGUAGGUAGGGGAGAAUGGAAUUCCCGGUGUAGCGGUGAAAUGCGCAGAUAUCGGGAGGAACACCGGUGGCGAAGGCGGUUCUCUGGGCCUUACCUGACGCUGAGGAGCGAAAGCGUGGGGAGCAAACCGG